AUUGAACGCUGGCGGCAGGCCUAACACAUGCAAGUCGAGCGGUAGAGAGAAGCUUGCUUCUCUUGAGAGCGGCGGACGGGUGAGUAAUGCCUAGGAAUCUGCCUGGUAGUGGGGGAUAACGUUCGGAAACGGACGCUAAUACCGCAUACGUCCUACGGGAGAAAGCAGGGGACCUUCGGGCCUUGCGCUAUCAGAUGAGCCUAGGUCGGAUUAGCUAGUUGGUGGGGUAAUGGCUCACCAAGGCGACGAUCCGUAACUGGUCUGAGAGGAUGAUCAGUCACACUGGAACUGAGACACGGUCCAGACUCCUACGGGAGGCAGCAGUGGGGAAUAUUGGACAAUGGGCGAAAGCCUGAUCCAGCCAUGCCGCAUGUGUGAAGAAGGUCUUCGGAUUGUAAAGCACUUUAAGUUGGGAGGAAGGGCAGUAAAUUAAUACUUUGCUGUUUUGACGUUACCGACAGAAUAAGCACCGGCUAACUCUGUG
rnacentral:rRNA from 1 species